rnacentral:ncRNA from 2 species
AUCGUUCAUCUUUCAAGAGCUUAAUCAAGAGAGACGGAAGUAGGGGAUAACCUGAAGGAACGCGCC